rnacentral:rRNA from 1 species
GGGUUGAAGCAUGACCGUAAGGACAUGUGGACAGUAUGGGAGUGAGAAUGUUGGCAUGAGUAGCGAGAUGUGGGUGAGAAUCCCACAGGCCGUAAACCCAAGGUUUCCAGGGGAAGGUUCGUCCGCCCUGGGUUAGUCGGGACCUAAGCUGAGGCCGAAAGGCGUAGGUGAUGGACAACAGGUUGAUAUUCCUGUACUACCGAUAACCGUUUGAGAGAAGGGAUGACACAGUAGGAUAAGCUAAGCACACUGUUGGUUAUGUGUGCCCAAGCAUUGAGGCAGUCAAAGUAGGCAAAUCCGCUUUGAUAAUGCUGGGAUGUGAUGGGGAGCGAAAUUUAGUAGCGAAGUAGCUGAUUUCACACUGUCAAGAAAAGUCUCUAUCGAGGUUAAAGGUACCCGUACCGCAAACCGACACAGGUGGGUGAGGAGAGUAUCCUAAGGCCAGCGAGAGAACUGUUGUUAAGGAACUCGGCAAAAUGACCCCGUAACUUAGGGAUAAGGGGUGCCACCAUCAGGUGGCCGCAGAGAAUAGGCCCAAGCGACUGUUUACCAAAAACAUAGGUUUCUGCUAAGUCGCAAGACGAUGUAUAGGAGCUGACGCCUGCCCGGUGCUGGAAGGUUAAGGGGAUCUGUUAGAGCAAUCGAAGCAGUGAACUUAAGCCCCAGUAAACGGCGGCCGUAACUAUAACGGUCCUAAGGUAGCGAAAUUCCUUGUCGGGUAAGUUCCGACCCGCACGAAAGGCGUAACGAUUUGGGCACUGUCUCAACAACAGACUCGGUGAAAUUGUAAUUCCGGUGAAGAUGCCGGAUACCUGCGACAGGACGGAAAGACCCCAUGGAGCUUUACUGUAGCUUGACAUUGGGUCUUGGUACUACAUGUACAGGAUAGGUGGGAGGCUUUGAAACCAGGACGCCAGUUUUGGCGGAGCCAUCCUUGGGAUACCACCCUUGUAGUACUGGGACUCUAACCAUAGGCCAUGAAUCUGGUCUUGGGACACUGUCAGGUGGGCAGUUUGACUGGGGCGGUCGCCUCCCAAAAGGUAACGGAGGCGCUCAAAGGUUCUCUCAGUACGGUCGGAAAU